AAUAGUCUUAUCAUACUGCUCCUAGCCUUAUUACACCAUAAGAAAGUAUUUGAUUAAGCUGUAGUGAUUAUGGUGCUUAGAGCGACUCUUUAAUGAAUUGAUUCUCUUCUAGUGAGUGCUCCUUCCUAUGUGCUGUAAAUACAUGGACUUGUCUUUGUUUUGGGGGAAAACAAAUGUCCCUUAAUGCUCUCACACAAAGUAAAGUCAGUCUCUCAUUCACAAGACGGUUUUAGGAUUUGAAAGUGCUACCCAUUGCCUUCAUCCUUACAUUGCUUGCCAGCUGUAAAAAUGACGUAGCAUAUCUUAGAAAAAAAAACUAAUUCAGAAUUCAACUUCUGUUUGUUUUUUGUUCGUUUUUGUAUGUUUUCAUCCAUAAUUAAUUACAUCCUUUUCCCCUGAGCUUACAAGGACUUCCAAUGAUGGGGCUGACAUUAGAAAUAACCCCAUUAAAUCACGAUAACCUGCCGCAUCUUCUCGGCAUAUUAAUAUUUUUGUACCGCUAGUGUUUAUGGCAAGAUAUCUGUUUCAGACUGCAUUACCCUGUAUUAAUGCUUUGCCAAUUCCUGAAAGGGUUAAUAAAUGUUUAAUUUCGAUGUUAAAUUGUUUUAUAGCCGUUUGCCGCCCAGUAAUGUUAGUUUUGUGGCACCAACCUGGUGCAGUUGGGAGAAUCUCAUGUACAGUCCUUAAUUUGUUUCCCAUUUUUUUUUAUUUAUUUUUUUAAAUGUAGAAUUCUGAAAGGGCUUGACUCCCAUAAAGCAUAUUAAAAUGAUAUGUGUUGCUUUGUUCUUUGUUUAUUGGGAAGGGGAAAAAUGCUGUUCUGU